rnacentral:rRNA from 1 species
GACGAACCGUGCGAACGUUGUUCGGAAUCACUGGGCUUAAAGGGCGCGUAGGCGGGCCAUCAAGUCCGGGGUGAAAUCCUUCGGCUUAACCGGAGAAUUGCCUUGGAUACUGAUGGUCUUGAGGGAAGUAGGGGUCUGCGGAACUUCCGGUGGAGCGGUGAAAUGUGUUGAUAUCGGAAGGAACGCCGGUGGCGAAAGCGGCGGACUGGGCUUCUUCUGACGCUGAGGCGCGAAAGCUAGGGGAGCAAACGGG